AUUGAACGCUGGCGGCAGGCCUAACACAUGCAAGUCGAGCGAGCGGCGGACGGGUGAGUAAUGUAUGGGGACUGCCCGAUAGAGGGGGAUAACUACUGGAAACGGUGGCUAAUACCGCAUACUAUCGGAUAACCCAUAUGGGAUUAGCUAGUAGGUGGGGUAAAGGCUCACCUAGGCGACGAUCUCUAGCUGGUCUGAGAGGAUGAUAGGCCACACUGGGACUGGGACACGGCCCAGAUGACUACGGAGGCAGCAGUGGGGAAUAUUGCACAAGGGGCGCAAGCCUGAUGCAGCCAUGCCGCGUGUAUGAAGAAGGCCUUAGGAUUGUAAAGUACUUUAAGUGGGGAGGCGUUACCCGAAGAAGAAGCACCGGCUAACUCCGUGCCAGCCGCCGAGGUAAUUC
rnacentral:rRNA from 1 species